UGGGACUUCCUUCAAGGUACAGGGGUUAAGACUUCGUGCUUCCACUGCAAGGGGCAUUGGUUGAAUCCUUGGUGAGAGAACUAAGAUCCCUGUAGGUGAACUAAGAUCUCUGGUCAGAGAACCAAGAUCCUACAUGCCACAUGGCAUGGCCAAAAAGUAAAAUAAAUAAAAUUUAAAAUUACUCGAAUUUUAGAAAAGAACACCUUAUGCCACUCAAUAAAAAGGAGGUGAAAGGAAAGAGGCAGAUCAGCUUGAGUUGUGAAGACAAAGAGGAGAAGAUGGAAGAAGCCCCCACUCUGCUCUUUCUCAGGUAUAAUACCCAUGUGAUAUGUGUAUCUUUCCCCAAGAUUGGUAUGGUUGGUGACCAAAAUGAUGACCACAAGCCCUGAAAACAUGGAUCAUGAGAACAAUGACCCGGAAGCUGGUCAGCUUCAAUUCCUGCUAUUUUGUUCUGGGAACAUAAUACCCCAAAAUUGCCAAACAUCCAAUAUGUAUAUUGGUGUACCUCAACUCUUCACUGUCAAACCCCACUAUGAUGCUCUCUGCUUCUGUUUAUUCAGGCUCCUCUUCCCGCUUAUGCACAGGCUCUUACUUCAGAUUAAAAAAAAAAAACAAAAAAAACAGAGAUCCAAUAACAGGACUGAGAUCUAA
rnacentral:lncRNA from 1 species